rnacentral:rRNA from 1 species
UACGUAGGUGGCAAGCGUUGUCCGGAAUCACUGGGCGUAAAGCGCGCGCAGGCGGCGAUCUACGUCUGGGGUGAAAGCCCGGAGCUCAACUCCGGGACUGCCUUGGAUACGGGAUCGCUUGAGGAUUGGAGAGGCAAGGGGAAUUCCACGUGUAGCGGUGAAAUGCGUAGAUAUGUGGAGGAACACCAGUGGCGAAGGCGGCUCACUGGCCCGAUACUGACGCUGAGGUGCGAAAGCGUGGGGAGCAAACAGG